AAAGCCCCCCCAUAGGGCCAUUUAUUGGGGUUACGGCACCACUUGCAGCAAUGCGGGUAGCAGGUGAAUCUAGAUAACUUUGCUUACCGCACGGCCUUGUGCUGGCGGUAGUUCGAUCGAAUUUCUGCCCUAUCAACUAGUUGGUAAGGUAGUGGCUUACCAAGGUAGUAACGGGUAACGGGGAAUCAGGGUUCGAUUCCGGAGAGGGAGCCUGAGAAACGGCUACCACAUCCAAGGAAGGCAGCAGGCGCGCAAAUUACCCAAUCCAGACAUUGGGAGGUAGUGACGAGAAAUACUGGGGGCGCUCCAUGUGAGUGCCAUCCGGAAUGAACGUAACACAAAAAAUUCGAUGAGGAUCUACUGGAGGGCAAGUCUGGUGCCAGCAGCCGCGGUAAUUCCAGCUCCAGUAGUGUAUAUCAACAUUGUUGCGCUUAAAACGCUCGUAGUUGGAUUACAGGGCUUCAAACACGGCCACUUGUUUGUGGUCGUGGUCGUAGCAAGCCGGCAGCCCAUGGUUGUCGGUAGCUCGAUGGAGCCCUUUUGUCGCACUGGCCCCGGUUGGUGCCUUUGUUGGUGCUGGCCGGUUGCCGGUGGAGUGUGCCUUGAAUAAAGCAUAGUGCUCAAAGCAGGCGUACGCUCGUGUGUAAUAGCAUGGAACGAAUAUAUUUUGACCGCGUCUACGUUAGCGUCGUGUUACAGCGGCGUUGCGGAGGGGUAGGUUCGAUCAGUGUUGGUUGGAACCACGGUCUCAACGGUUAAAAGGGACACCUGAGGGCACUAGUACUUUGUGGCGAGAGGUGAAAUUCUUAGACCCACAAAAGACUGACUACUGCGAAAGCAUUUGCCAAGAGUGUUUUCAUUAAUCAAGAACGAAGGUCAGAGGAUCGAAGACGAUCAGAUACCGUCCUAGUUUUGACAGCAAACUAUGCCAGCAUAGGGUCGGAGCGGUCGCUCGUUAACAGCGAGUCGGACUACUGCGGGCCUUAAGGGAAACCUAGCUUUCGGGCUGCUGGGAGAAUAUCGCUGCAAGGCUGAAAUUUAAAGAAAUUGACGGAGAGGCACCACCAGGAGUGGAGCCUGCGGCUUAAUUUGACUCAACACGGGGAAACUCACCAGGUCCAGACAUUGGUAGGAUUGACAGACUGGUAGAUCUUUCAUGAUUCAGUGAAUGGUGGUGCAUGGCCGUUCUUAGUUGGUGGAGUGAUCUGUCAGGUCUAUUCCGGUAACGAGCGAGACCACGGCCUCUAGUUAUCAUGUCGUCAGGCCCUGUGCUUGGCUGGCCAACUAGAGGGACUAUUGGUGUUUAAACCAGAGGAAGCGUGGCAAUAACAGGUCUGUGAUGCCCUUCGAUGUCCUGGGCUGCACGCGCGCUACAAUGGCAGCAGUAGAGAGUAUGGCUAGCCAGAGAUAGUUGGUGAACUGUAAAUUGCUGUCGUGAUAGGGAUUGAGCCUUGUAAUUAUUGCUCAUGAAAGAGGAAUUCCUCGUAAGCACUAGUCAUCAGCUAGUGUUGAAUACGUCUCUGCCUCUUGUACACACCGCCCGUCGCUACUACCGA
rnacentral:rRNA from 1 species